rnacentral:rRNA from 1 species
GGACCUCACGCUAAUAGACGAGCCUGCGUAGGAUUAGCUAGUUGGUGGGGUAAGAGCCCACCAAGGCGACGAUCCUUAGCUGGUCUGAGAGGAUGAUCAGCCACACUGGGACUGAGACACGGCCCAGACUCCUACGGGAGGCAGCAGUGGGGAAUAUUGGACAAUGGGGGCAACCCUGAUCCAGCCAUGCCGCGUGUGUGAAGAAGGCCUUCGGGUUGUAAAGCACUUUCAGCAAGGAGGAAGGCAGUACGGUUAAUACCCGUGCUGAUUGACGUUACUUGCAGAAGAAGCACCGGCUAACUCCGUGCCAGCAGCCGCGGUAAUACGGAGGGUGCGAGCGUUAAUCG